rnacentral:tRNA from 1 species
GCCGCUGUGGCUCAGAGGUAGAGCACACCCUUGGUAAGGGUGGGGUCGAGAGUUCGAUUCUCUCCAGCGGCA